CGUAAUCAAAGUCAGCCGAGCAAACAAUCAACAUUACUUUGACCAAAAUGUACCUAGCUGGAAAUAAUAUAAAACAAGAAAGAAAAGCAACAACAACAAGCCAAAUAAAUAAAUAAGUUCGCACGAUGGGAGGAAAAAAUUGCGCCAAAUUAAUGAAAAGCGCAAAUGACAGUGCAAAAAAUACAAAAUACAAAAAAAGUGCUGUGAAUUUAAAGCGGCGUAAAAAAUGUGCGACAGGAAAAAGCAGAAAACGAAAAACUCUUUGAAAUUAAAUUUCGAAAUGCGAAAGACAACCAGACAAACAAAAUGCGAAGCUAACGAAAAAGAAAGUACGCCGUGCACUUUGGCCAAAAUAGUCGGUGAAAAGCCAGGCUCCGUCCGGGAGGAAGGGGAGAAGGGGGGGAUGAAUGUAUACAAAUUCCGGAAAACGCAAAUUUAUUUCAGCAUUUUUAUACUCAGCUCAGAUAAAGCACAGAAAACAGAAAAAAAAAUAAACAAAAAAAAGUGGAAAAAUGCGCAUUAAAUAAGUAAUAAAGAAAUCAAGAGAAGUUAAGUUAAAAAAUAAAAUCAGUUGGUUGUCGGACGGCGCUAACAAAGUUGCCACUUGUCAGACGUCAGUUGUCAGUUGUCAGUAAAUGUUUAUGAGUUAAUCAACUUGUAAUGACCAAAGGAGGCCCCAAACAACUGGGACCGCUUCAGGGUCGGACGGAAAGUCACUUAAAGUGCGGGCAGAGAAGAAGAAAAGUGAGGGGGGAGCGGGAAAAAAGUGUGUACGCAGUGCAGGCAGCGAGUGAGUGAGUGAGUGAAUUCAGAGAGCAGACACAAGUCCGACUGUUGCAGAGCAGCAGCACAAAAAAGCCGAGACCAAGAGCUGCAGAUGAUGAAAAACAACAGCAGCAACAUCAACAUCAGCUGAAAUGAGCGACAAAUAAACAAAAGUAAAAGUUUUAUCCAAGAGCGGAAAUGCGCAAAGCGCGUUGUUAACACGAAAUGUGGCAAAGGCAACACAAGGCAGAGGCAGAGGCAGACGCAGAGACAGAGACAGAGGCAGCUAAAAAGUGCCACAGAUAUAGUAAAGUAGAGUGGCAAGUAGUGUUUCAGCCAUCUAAAAGUUUUUGGCCUUAGCCAUUUAUGGAAUUUCUGAAAUGCCACCCGGCAAUUUGCACUUUUACAGAUGUAACUGGCCAGCAAAUUGCAGGCAAGCAUCUAGAGAGGACUAUCUCACAUCUCUUGUGGCAUGCAACACUCCAACUUCAUUUCGGGUAAUUUCACACGGAAGCAGCAAACGAUCUUAAUUGACAAACUCGUGUUUUUAUACUUUGAUAGUUGGAUAUAUAAAAUAGCAACUACUGCAAAGUAAUACGAAAAAUUCCAUUAAACUCAUUACUUAUUCC